AGUGAACGCUGGCGGUAGGCCUAACACAUGCAAGUCGAACGGCAGCACCGUAAGAGCUUGCUCUUACGGGUGGCGAGUGGCGGACGGGUGAGGAAUACAUCGGAAUCUACUUUUUCGUGGGGGAUAACGUAGGGAAACUUACGCUAAUACCGCAUACGCCCUACGGGUGAAAGCAGGGGAUCUUUGGACCUUGCGCGAUUGAAUGAGCCGAUGUCGGAUUAGCUAGUUGGCGGGGUAAUGGCCCACCAAGGCGACGAUCCGUAGCUGGUCUGAGAGGAUGGUCAGCGACACUGGAACUGAGACACGGUCCAGACGCCUACGGGAGGCAGCAGUGGGGAAUAUUGGACAAUGGGCGCAAGCCUGAUCCAGCCAUACCGCGUGGGUGAAGAAGGCCUUCGGGUUGUAAAGCCCUUUUGUUGGGAAAGAAAAGCAGCAGGUUAAUACCCCGCUGUUCUGACGGUACCCAAAGAAUAAGCACCGGCUAACUUCGUG
rnacentral:rRNA from 1 species